rnacentral:ncRNA from 2 species
UGAUUUCUUCGGGGCAGGGUGAAAUUCCCGACCGACGGUAACAACUAAAAGUUGAAGUCCGUGACCCGCGUUUUGCGGUGGACCCAGUGAGAUUCUGGGACCGACAGUAUAGUCUGGAUGGGAGAAGAAAAAA